CCUACGGGUGGCUGCAGUGGGGAAUAUUGGACAAUGGGCGAAAGCCUGAUCCAGCCAUGCCGCGUGUGUGAAGAAGGCCUUCGGGUUGUAAAGCACUUUCAGUGGGGAAGAAAGCCUUGGGGCUAAUACCCUCGAGGAAGGACAUCACCCACAGAAGAAGCACCGGCUAACUCCGUGCCAGCAGCCGCGGUAAUACGGAGGGUGCGAGCGUUAAUCGGAAUUACGGGGCGUAAAGCGCGCGUAGGCGGUCUGAUAAGCCGGUUGUGAAAGCCCCGGGCUCAACCUGGGAACGGCAUCCGGAACUGUCAGGCUAGAGUGCAGGAGAGGAAGGUAGUAUUCCCGGUGUAGCGGUGAAAUGCGUAGAGAUCGGGAGGAAUACCAGUGGCGAAGGCGGCCUUCUGGACUGACACUGACGCUGAGGUGCGAAAGUGUGGGUAGCAAACAGGAUUAGAUACCCCUGUAGUC
rnacentral:rRNA from 1 species